UACAGAGGUCUCAAGCGUUGUUCGGAUUCAUUGGGCGUAAAGGGUGCGUAGGCGGCGCGGUAAGUCGGGUGUGAAAUCUCGGAGCUUAACUCCGAAACUGCAUUCGAUACUGCCGUGCUUGAGGACUGGAGAGGAGACUGGAAUUCACGGUGUAGCGGUGAAAUGCGUAGAUAUCGUGAGGAAGACCAGUGGCGAAGGCGGGUCUCUGGACAGUUCCUGACGCUGAGGCACGAAGGCCAGGGGAGCAAACGGG
rnacentral:rRNA from 1 species